GUGUCAGCAGCCGCGGUAAUACGGGGGGAGCAAGCGUUGUUCGGAUUUACUGGGCGUAAAGGGCGCGUAGGCGGCCACCGCAAGUCGACUGUGAAAUCUCCGGGCUUAACCCGGAAAGGUCAGCCGAUACUGCGGGGCUAGAGUGCAGAAGGGGCAACUGGAAUUCUCGGUGUAGCGGUGAAAUGCGUAGAUAUCGAGAGGAACACCUGCGGCGAAGGCGGGUUGCUGGGCUGACACUGACGCUGAGGCGCGAAAGCUAGGGGAGCGAACGGGAUUAGAUACCCCCGUAGUCC
rnacentral:rRNA from 1 species